ensembl:lncRNA
GCCCCAUAGAGCCAUAGAGCCCCAUAGAGCCCCAUAGAGCCCCAUAGCCGCCCCAUAGAGCCCCAUAGAGCCCCAUAGCGCCCCAUAGAGCCCCAUAGACCGCCCCAUAGAGCCCCAUAGAGCCCCAUAGAGCCCCAUAAGGCCCCAUAGAGCCCCAUAAGGCCCCAUAGAGCCCCCAUAGGCCGCCCCAUAGAGCCCCAUAGAGCCCCAUAGAGGCCCAUAGAGCCCCAUAGAGCCCCAUAGAGCCCCAUAGCCGCCCCAUAAAGCCCCAUAGAGCCCCAUAGACGCCCCAUAGAGCCCCAUAGAGCCCCAUAGAGCCCCAUAGCCACCCCAUAGAGCCCCAUAGAGCCCAUAGAGCCCCAUAGCAGCCCCAUAGAGCCCCAUAGAGCCCCAUAGAGCCCCCAUAGAGCCC